rnacentral:lncRNA from 1 species
GCCACAUGCCAAGUGCAAUACAGAAGUGUAGGCAGAGGAUGGAAAGGACAGAGAGAGAGAAAUUAAUUCUGCUUAGGGGUGGUAUGUAGGUGUGUGUGCAUAUGUGUGCGUGUGUGUGUGUGUGAGAGAGAGAGAGAGAGACAGAGAAAGACAGAGAGAGAAAGAGGGAGAGAGAAAUGAGAGUGUGUGGAGAGGUUUAAGAGGGAGAGAAGAAUGUUCAUACCACAGAGACAUAAAAUAGGAAGAUGGAAGAUGGGGAAAGGGAGAAAAGGAAGAUUUCAAGAUAAUAAAUUAUCUGAGUUUAACCCAAGAAGACCUUCUACUGAUGAUCACAUUCAAAUUUUAAAUGUCUAGUGACUAAGAGACUAAUCACAUGGGGCUGCUUAGAUUUAUCGAGGAGGACAGGAGUGCCAAAACUCUAAGUUGUUUUUUGUAGGGUGUAAGAACAAAGGCAUCUCAUGUGUCUCGAGAAAUGAGUGAAAGUCAUGACCCAGUUCUUCCUCCUACUUUAACAAAAUGUGACUGAAGAGGAAGCCAGAUGUGUUCUAGGACAGACCAGCUGACUAACUCUUACUGUCAACAUACACUGUGCAAUUCCAAGACACAAGGGCAACUGAUAAAGAAGAUUAGCUUGGUUUUCCAGAAAUAAGUUCUGCUCUGUUCAAUCUCCUUGCUCAAUCUCCAUUCUCUCAUUCAUGUGGAAUAACAAGAUCUGCAAUAAACACCACCAGGUUGAAAAGUCAGGUUCUGGAAUUGGCUGUCUGGAUUAAAAUACUGGUUCCAUCACUGAGAAGCUGUGUGACCUUGCGAAAAUUACUUAAUCUCUUUGUGUUUCAGUUUUCUGAUCUGUAAAAUGAAGUCAAUAAUGGUGAGAAAAUGAGAAAAAUGCAUGCAAGCUUAGCAUAUUAUUAGAGUGAUAAAUGCUAACAAUUAUAAAUCAUGUCAGGGCCUCUACAUUAUUUUAGCAUUUACUUUCCUCUGACUAUCUGUACAUUACUGGAUAAAAAUAUUUUAUUGAUCACCAGAUAUUAAACUCCUGUGAAUUUCUGUGUGUUGAUGGUGAAGUUGGUGGGAGGAUGGUGAUGAGACUUACUUGAAGACAGGAAUGUAUGUGAGUUGACCAUGUCAGUAAGCUGAGAUACUGUCAAUUUCUGAAGGAUUCCUCUGGCUGAGUCUACACAGUUAAGAAGUAUUAUAUAUUUCUUGAUGUCUUUCCUAAUGUCUAACUGAAAUUCUCUAAUUGUCUCAUGUUUUAUUCCUCAUUUAUGGAGAUGCUGGACAGCAUUAAAAAAUAUUGAAACGUGAAUACUUGAAAACAAUUACUGUAUCAUUUGUCAAUUCUUUUAAAAAAUAUCAAAAACCCAGUUUAUUUGGCCUUUUGUUCUAGACUUCAAUUCUACUUCUUUGGACCCCUUCUCCCUGAGGCUGAUAGGGCAGCUGGCCCCUGUGUGGGUGUUGAUGAAACCCAGACCAGUACAUAGUACUCAGUUGGGCAUAGUACAUUCUAGGCGCUAAGACAGGCAGGUAAGUGGAUCAAGCCUUUACAAGCGGUGACUUCUCUCAGGGAGGAAACAGCCCUAAUCUUCAUUUACCAGGUUCAGAAUGCUUUGGGUAUGGUAUAGUGAUGAAUUUGAUAUCGUUACCAUAUAAUCACAAUCUUGAAACAUCACAUUUUAACAUUCAAGGAAUAUUUGACAUUGCCAUUUAAAAAUAUUAUUCAUUCAUUCAUUCAUUCACUCACUCAACAAAUAUAGCAUGCUAAAAACAUAAAAGAAGUAUGCUAGAUUUUUUCGAAUACACCUUUUGGCUCUAACUGGAUUAUGAAUUUCUUUUAGAGCAGAGACACUGUACCUUAUUCAUAUUUCUAUCCCAAGGGUCAGCCUGUAGAAGACACUCACCUAAUGCAACAAACAUGCAUUGCAUAAAUGAAAAAUUGGAUGCAAGGAAUAUGCUAGCUGUGCAUGACCAAUAAAGCAUUUGUUGCUAUGUCUCAUCUUUAAACUUUGAAUUUAAGCAGAACUUGAAUGCAAAUACUGUCUCCAUGAAAAAUAUAUUUGGCAACAAUAUUAUGUUAGACCUUUCACUUAGAUUAAAUAUAUAAUUUAAGUGCUUAUAUAAAAAAGAAGAUGAAAUCAACAACCUAUAUAAACUAUCCAGGGAGUCAAGGGUUUUGGUGAAAAAAAAAAAAAACAGUUUAAAAUAGGACUUUUCUUAAACUCAAAUCCUCUUUCAUGUAGCAAAAGGAAAUGAGCAAAGAAAUCCAAACCCACUGAAGUUUUCAGGGCCAAACAUUUUGAUUCAAUAUGCUCUGCUAUAAAAUAUUUGGCCUUGUUUGAAUUUUUAUUGCUAUAUGUUCUCAGUCUAUAUUUAACUGUGAGGAACACAAAUAAGAAAGAGUAAAUGUGCAGAACGUUCAUUUCAAGAGCAUGGCAGUGAAUUUGAGAAAACAUGUAUUAAAGGAACACUUUGUGUUUUUAACUUUCAGCCCCUUUUCUGAGGCCUCCCUUGGCCAGAUAUGAUUAAAUAUUUAUCAAACUAAGGACUCAGCUUACUUGGAGUGAAAACUCUUCAGGGCCUCUCAGAGAUACCUAAGAUAAGUACCUUAUUUUAGUAGCUCUCAAAUAAAGCUUCUUUUAUGCUCUGUCUUUUUCAUAUAUAAAAUAAGGUCUAAUUAGAAAGUUUUAUAAUGGAGGCAGUCAAUUCCCCAAUUCCUUAUUUGUUUGAAUUAACUUUUAAAAAAUUGGGGUGUUCACUCUGGCGUUGGCUCAAUCCAGACUCUGUAAUCAGCCAACAAUCUGUGCUUCACAAAGGCUGGCGUCCUAACUGCCAGCUUCUGCCAUCCGCACCUUUUCCGUGGGGUAAUACAUUUUAAUUGGUACUUCUCUGAGAGCCCUACACAUCUCCAUCUGGCCAAAUAAACAUACUUUUACUAUUCAGCCUCAACAUCUUGGCAGUUAACAAGAGGACAGACUUGCCACAAUGGGUAAUCUUUAAGAUGCAUAAAAUCCUAAAAUUAAAGGACCAGGUACAGGUGGUAUAAUCAAUGGCUGCCUAGAAGAUGGCUCAUCUACAAAGUGGCUUUGUGUUCCACAGUCUUUUUAACACUGCUCUUGUGAUCCUAAAUGCAGUUCCUGAGCCGAGUCAGCAUUGAGAGCUCUCUCCUCUCAAAGGGCACAUUAGUGAUGAAAUAUUUCACUUCCAAUGACAGCAUAACUUUUUGGAUAUAGGCUUAUUAGCAACGUGUUUCCACUGGUUGGAUUGAGCAAGUGUAACCAGAAGGCAGAAUGGUGAAAUGGUUAAGAGCAUGGGUUCUAGAGUCAGGCUGCGUUCAAAUUCUGCUGCUGUUAAUUUAUCUUUGUGACCUUGGGCAGUUACCAUACCUCUCUGUGCCUCAGUUUCCUCAUCAGUAAAGCAGAGAUAAUGUCAGUAUUUUCCUCAUAAGAGUAUUGCAAGGACUGAUUAAAUGAGAUAAGGUGUCUGAUAUGUUUAGCACAGGGCAUGACUUGUAUUUGCUAACAAUUAUUUUUAGGCAAGGUCAGUAGACCAAAUAACUUGAGCAGCAGAAAGGAAGUGGAAGGCGAAUAACCAGCUAUGAGGUUAUUUCUCAGAUAAUUUCUUCCUAUUUCAAUGCUUCACUUUUUACAGUUUAAUCAUCAAGCAACAGUGUUAGGGAUUACGUGAGAUAAUAUGGUCUGUGUGCUGAUUCACUCAUUUAGUGUGGUCUCAUUUCCUUAAAGAACACAUCUUGAGAGAACACUUUUUUUCUCUCUAACCCUCAGGGUCAUCUGGAUGAAAUGAAUACUUUUAGGGCAAAAUGGCUGAUACUGCUUCCUUGAUAACCACAUAUAGAAAACUGACAACUGUUUAGAACAAAGCCAAAGAUGAAACCAAAUAUAAAACCACUGAUGAAAACUAAGUGAAAAAUAUAAGCAAAAUAGAAGAAAAAUAAGGUCGUUAUUUCAAGAAAACGAAAGACAGUCAAUGCUGUUCUUUGUAUUCACAUACAAUUUGGUUCACACCAAAAUGUGAGUUGUUCUCUAUGAGAUGUUAUUAAAUGUUCCUAAGAAGACUCGCUUUAGAAAAAAACAGUAUUCCUAAGGCAUGUCCAAUCUGUCUCUUUUCUUAAUUGCUAUAGUUCUACUUUAUUAUUAUAAUGUAUUCAGCAUUAAAAUUCAUUAUUUCCC